rnacentral:rRNA from 1 species
UACAGAGGGUGCGAGCAUUAAUCGGAAUUACUGGGCGUAAAGCGCACGUAGUCGGCUUUGCAAGUCGGUUGUGAAAUCCCCGGGCUCAACCUGGGAACUGCAUCCGAGACUGCAUUGCUAGAGUAUGGGAGAGGGAAGCGGAAUUUCUGGUGUAGCAGUGAAAUGCGUAGAUAUCAGAAGGAACAUCAGUGGCGAAGGCGGCUUCCUGGACCAAUACUGACGAUCAGGUGCGAAAGCGUGGGGAGCAAACAGG